UCAGUGCUAACUGUGGCUGCCUUUGGUGUCAUCAGCUUCAUUGUCAUCCUGGUGGUUGUAGUGAUCAUCCUGGUCAGUGUGGUCAGUCUAAGAUUUAAGUGUCGGAAGAACAAGGAGUCUGAAGAUCCACAGAAACCAGGGAGUUCAGGGCUGUCUGAAAGCUGCUCCACAGCCAAUGGAGAGAAAGACAGCAUCACACUCAUCUCCAUGAGGAACAUCAACGUGAACAACAGCAAAGGCAGCAUGUCAGCAGAGAAGAUUCUUUAAGAGUGACCUGGAGUCGCCAUGGGUCCACGUGUGAUGCGGCUGUCCCCUGGCCAUGAGGAAGGAGAGGAGACGAGAUUGGGGGAGGCAGCGGACCACACAUAAAUUAUUUGAUGUCAUGCCUGCUCCCAGUUCUAAAGGACAUGAGAUUCCUCUAGAUCCAGAAGAACCUACCACACAAGAGACUCCUUCCCACUUGGAAGCCAUGCUAGACACUUGGCCUGCUCCCCCUCCUCCUGCUGCUCAGAAACUCAGGAACGAGGAGUCAAUAGAGCAAGACUUAAGGAAAUAAUGAGGUAGAUUGUCCAUUCUACUAGAAUUAAAAUUAUUUUCUGGCCUGG
rnacentral:lncRNA from 1 species